AACGCUAGCGGUAGGCUUAACACAUGCAAGUCGAGGGGCAGCACGGGUAGCAAUACCUGGUGGCGACCGGCGCAAGGGUGCGUAACGCGUGAGCAACAUGCCCUAUACAGGGGGAUAAUCCAGGGAAACUUGGUCUAAUAUCCCAUAGUAUUUAGAGGAGGCAUCUUCUAUAAAUUAAAGCUUCGGUGGUAUAGGAUUGGCUCGCGUGACAUUAGCUAGAUGGUGAGGUAACGGCUCACCAUGGCAAUGAUGUCUAGGGGUUCUGAGAGGAAGGCCCCCCACACUGGGACUGAGACACGGCCCAGACUCCUACGGGAGGCAGCAGUGAGGAAUAUUGGACAAUGGAUGGAAAUCUGAUCCAGCCAUGCCGCGUGCAGGAAGACAGCCCUAUGGGUUGUAAACUGCUUUUAUAUGGGAGCAAUAAGGUCUACGUGUAGACUGAUGAGAGUACCAUAUGAAUAAGCAUCGGCUAACUCCGUG
rnacentral:rRNA from 1 species